rnacentral:lncRNA from 1 species
GCUCUCUCAAAAAAAUAAAUUUGUUGGUUUUUGAUAUAAGAGACAUACUUUUUUUUUUUUUUUUUAAGGAAUAAGAGACAUACUUUUACGGACAAAGCCACAAUAAAAAACAUUUAAACACACAUACAUAGGAAAAUAAACAUGAAUGAUUCUUUGAUAUUGUAAAGUGACAUAUAAUUUGAAACAAAUAAAUUUUGCUAGAAUGACAUAUAAAGUGGAACAGAUGGAAUAUAAUUUAAUUGUUGGUUUUUCUUUUACCUUUUUUCAUUUCUGUCAAUAUCUACGGAUGUAAUCAACUUGAUAUGAGUAAAAAGAGAGAAUUAAUGUCUUUGGCCUCUAUAUAAAUGAUCAUUGUAGUUUUGUUGUUUUUAUUCAGA